AGAACGAACGCUGGCGGCAGGCCUAACACAUGCAAGUCGAACGCCCCGCAAGGGGAGUGGCAGACGGGUGAGUAACACGUGGGAACCUUCCCUAUAGUACGGAAUAGCCCAGGGAAACUUGGAGUAAUACCGUAUACGCCCGAAGGGAAAGAUUAUCGCUAUAGGAUGGGCCCGCGUAGGAUUAGCUAGUUGGUGAGGUAACGGCUCACCAAGGCGACGAUCCUUAGCUGGUUUGAGAGAACGACCAGCCACACUGGGACUGAGACACGGCCCAGACUCCUACGGGAGGCAGCAGUGGGGAAUAUUGGACAAUGGGCGCAAGCCUGAUCCAGCCAUGCCGCGUGAGUGAUGAAGGCCUUAGGGUUGUAAAGCUCUUUUGCCGGGGACGAUAAUGACGGUAGCGGGAGAAGAGCCCGGCUAACUUCGCGCCAGCAGCCGC
rnacentral:rRNA from 1 species